ACCUUCUGGCUUUUUUCCACUCAGUGUAUUCACACAAUUUAUUUUGUGCAAAUUUUGUUAUUAUGUAAUUAUUUAUUUCAGUGAAAGUGGAACCAGGAGAAUGAGCUGAGUGCCUCUGGUUUUAAUGCAGGGCCUCCCUCCCUCCUCCACCAGAAGCUUUCUUGGAUGCAUUUCUGUCUCCUGACGGGGGUCUGGAAAACAUAUAUCUCAGCAGGGGGCUCGGCUGCAGGCGGCCGCUCAUGCCCGGCAGGCAGCGCUCCCUGCUCUGCCUCCUGUGGGAGUCAGAGCGGAAAUGCUCGGCUCCUGCUGCUGCACGCUCCCUGACGCAGCACCAUGCGGAGCGGCAUUAACGAACAGUGAGGCUGUAGGUGAGGUGCAGCUCCCUGGGCUUUGCUCUGGCGGCCAUGUUGCUUCUGCUCUAGAUGAAGUUCUCCUUCCCUCCCUCGUGCCUGGAGUCGUCUGGUAAAGAGAUCCCACUGCAGACGGAUGUGGUCCAUGAAGCUGCGCUGAGGACAGGAGCUGGACUCAUCAGUGAUUGUCUGACGGCCUGGAGGAAGUGCAACAACUCAACACACUGCACCCUGUUUACGCUGCAGCAUCGGUAUUUGAUCCACUGUUAAGCAGCAUCCAGGCUCCGUCGGUUCCCCAGAGACACAGCCUCAGCUUUACCAUAAACGCUCUGACAAGAGUUACGGCUGCAGCCGUGGAGGGAACCUCCGAUUUGUGGGGCACGGGAAGAGAGGAGUAGGAAAGAGGGGGGAGAGGUUCCCGGCACUGUUGAAGGGUCAUGACUCGAUGUUCCGUCCUCCUUUUGGAGAAACUACCGUUUUUUUUUUAUCAGUUGGAGACGGGAGAAGCCCGAAACGUGUGGAAAAUACCUCAGAUUCUUCAUGUUCUGGUAACUCUGCUCGGGCGUCCUGUGCUUUCGUCUGCUUUCUUUUUAUGGAGCAUUUGGGUGUUUCCACACUCCCUCCUUCAUCACAGUUAUGAUUCAAACCUUGGAGAAACCUCUUGAAAGUAUUUAUUGACUGAUUAUUGGAGAAAAUGAGCACAUAUGGCAAACACAUGGGGACAAGUAUCCACCACCUCCAAACCUGUGUGCAGUCGGAUGACUCCCACCGCAAAUAUUCCCCCAUAAACGCUCCUAAAAGGAUGCUAUUUGUACAUAUUGGAAUUAUUGAUUAUAAAUAUUUA